rnacentral:rRNA from 1 species
UACGGAGGGUGCGAGCGUUGUCCGGAAUCAUUGGGCGUAAAGGGCGCGUAGGUGGCCCGGUCAGUUCGUGGUGAAAGCGCGGGGCUCAACUCCGCGUCGGCCAUGAAUACUGCUGGGCUGGAGCACUGUAGAGGCAGGCGGAAUUCCGGGUGUAGCGGUGGAAUGCGUAGAGAUCCGGAAGAACACCGGUGGCGAAGGCGGCCUGCUGGGCAGUGGCUGACACUGAGGCGCGACACGUGGGGAGCAAACAGGG